GACGAACGCUGGCGGCGUGCCUAACACAUGCAAGUCAACUUGACUGAAGGAGCAAUCUGACAGUAGAGUGGCGCAAGGGUGCGUAACGCGUAAGUAACUUGCCCAAGGUAAGGAAUAACGUCGAGAAAUCGGCGCUAAUACCUCAUAAUGCAGCGGAUCCGCAUGGAUAUGUUGUUAAAGGUUUACCGCCUUGGGAUAGGCUUGCGUCUGAUUAGCUAGUUGGUGUGGUAACGGCACACCAAGGCUACGAUCAGUAACUGGUCUGAGAGGAUGAUCAGUCACACUGGAACUGGGACACGGUCCAGACUCCUACGGGAGGCAGCAGUGAGGAAUAUUGGGCAAUGCUCGAAAGAGUGACCCAGCAACGCCGCGUGGAGGAUGAAGGUAUUCUAUAUCGUAAACUCCUGUGAGAGCAGACGAAAGACAGAUUAUUAAUCUGGAUGACUGUAUGCUCAGAGGAAGCCCCGGCUAACUACGUG
rnacentral:rRNA from 1 species